rnacentral:rRNA from 1 species
UACAGAGGGGGCAAGCGUUGUUCGGAAUUACUGGGCGUAAAGGGCGCGUAGGUGGCCUUCUAAGUUGAACGUGAAAUCCCUGGGCUCAACCCAGGAACUGCGUCCAAGACUGGGAGGCUUGAAUCCGGGAGAGGGAUGCGGAAUUCCAGGUGUAGCGGUGAAAUGCGUUGAUAUUCACAGGAACUCCGGUGGCGAAGGCGGCGUGCUGGACCUCACCUGACGCUGAGGCGCGAAAGCCAGGGGAGCAAACGGG